AGUGAACGCUGGCGGUAGGCCUAACACAUGCAAGUCGAACGGCAGCACAGUAAGAGCUUGCUCUUACGGGUGGCGAGUGGCGGACGGGUGAGGAAUACAUCGGAAUCUACUUUUUCGUGGGGGAUAACGUAGGGAAACUUACGCUAAUACCGCAUACGACCUACGGGUGAAAGCAGGGGAUCUUCGGACCUUGCGCGAUUGAAUGAGCCGAUGUCGGAUUAGCUAGUUGGCGGGGUAAAGGCCCACCAAGGCGACGAUCCGUAGCUGGUCUGAGAGGAUGAUCAGCCACACUGGAACUGAGACACGGUCGAGACUCCUACGGGAGGCAGCAGUGGGGAAUAUUGGACAAUGGGCGCAAGCCUGAUCCAGCCAUACCGCGUGGGUGAAGAAGGCCUUCGGGUUGUAAAGCCCUUUUGUUGGGAAAGAAAAGCAGCAGGUUAAUACCCCGCUGUUCUGACGGUACCAAAAGAAUAAGCACCGGCUAACUUCGUG
rnacentral:rRNA from 1 species